UCAUUUAAUUCUCAGCAAUUUCAUAAGAUACAUUUAUUUCCCAUUUUACAGGUGAAGACACUAAUGCAGAAAGAGAGAGAUUUGCCCAAGGUCAAUAGCUGAAAGUGGCUGCCUGGCUUCUCACCACUGAUCGUGCUGCUUUACUGACUCGAUUACGGAGGGUUCCAGGGAAAGCUCGGGAUCUAAACAGCGAGUCUCUUCUUGGCUCUCUGGUGUCUCUAUAACCUGUGCACUCUCAUGAAGAACACAUUGAAGAUUUCUGAACAUUUUCUGAAGGAUGGAAGAUGAUUUCUCUCAUGUUCCUCCUCCUUCAAAGAAUAAAGCAAAGGUCUGACCUCUGCUUGCGUGGGAAUCACCAUCUCAAAACCCGAGCCUUCUAAUUCCUUCUUUCUUCUAAUCAACAUCCCACCCAAGUUACGAUAAGGAAAGACAGAUCCCCCUCUGCUCAAAGUGGCUUCAAGCUCUUGAACAGAAAGUUGACACCUGGGAUGUCUCCAUCCCCUCCAAGCCCUGCUCCAUGGCAUAGGCCAUACUGUCCUUUAAAAUAUCAAAAGGAGAAACAGAGACUAGAAUGGUGGUUACCAGGGGCAAGGGGUGGAGAAAAAGGGGAAA